CUCUUUAUUAUCAGCAUGUUUCUUCUUUCUAACAAGAAGAAGAAAAAGUCAGGCAAAUCUACUACGGCCUUUUUAUCAGGACCCAAUACCGCAUGGGGCCCGUUUGCAUAUCUCUGCCCUCAUCACUCACAAACUCAUUCAGUACGGAGUUAGACGCACUAGCAGGAAAUCCGUUUCACAGAAUGGCUACUCCAUAUACUCGUCCAGGAAGAAUUACGUGCAAAUGCAUUCAGACCCGUGUGAUAAAUAAAGCUGAAACAUUUAUAUACACACAACAGUCUAAAAUUGAACCUGCAACAUACAGGACAACUUCAUUCUGUGCCCUCACGAAUAAUGCCUUGACCUACCUACACAAAAGAUCUGGCCCAGACCCCGAAUUUGAGGGAGCUAGCUACAUUUUAAAGAAUGUGACCGUCUCUACCAGAGAUGGGCUACCACAUUUACUAGUCGGGCCAGCAACACAGAAAUUUCGUACAUAAGAUGCACUCUGUCCACCCUCUAAACCCAUAUCUGGCAACGAAGACAACAUGUACUUUAUGCAUGGAUAUAUUACUCUUCAAGGCCAAGUGAAAAAACUACAAAAAGUGAGGAUGACACGAUCCUCGAUUUCCAUUUUAAAUUUAAAGCUGCUGUGUGGUCCUGAUCAACUUGAUAUCUCCCUGUGGAAAGAAGAAGCUCUUUGUGGCUUACACAUUGGAGAUGACGUAGAGAUCACCCACCUUUAUGGUGACAAGGUGCCUCGAGGAAGGAUCGUUUUCAUUCUUCUCGGUACACAACUGUUAAGGUAAUCAUAAUACAAUCUUUACAAAAAUGUAAAGACACACUGUAUAUCUAUUUAUCUAUCUAUCAUGUAACACACACAAGCAAAUACAAUACAAAUUAUACACUCCUAUUAUACAAAUCUCACAAUUACUAGAAACAAACAACAUUACACAUACCAAGAUGUUUGGUGUAAUAAUAUUGACUUUCUUUUCUUUUCUUUUUUUUCUUUUUUUUUACAAAUUAAGGAAACUCCACGGACAAAACAAGAAAUCGAAGUUUUGGGAGUAUCUCAAGCAGAUGACACCUACACUCUUCUUAGCACUGAUGAUGAAGUCUACACAGUUUCGGCAGAGUUUUACACUGGAAACUUCACCAGUCUCAUUGAACAAUUACCCAUGAAGAUUCUUGUGGAGCAUAUCAACAACAGAGUCGUUGGUGUCAAAGCAUUACUUUAAGCUUUACUUAACCUGGACUCUUAGAAUUUUUCAUUUUAUGUCCAUUCAUUUUUUUGUACUUUGCACUUUUUAAUAUAUACCUUUCUUGUACAUUUUAUUGCAUUUAAACACAUAAUUUCUUGCAUUUUUGUAACCUUUUUGCAUUUCUAAAAUGUAUAUUAAAACUACUUUUUGGAAACAAAACUAAAUCUUACUUAUGGCACUUAAAAAGCUUGAUCACUUAAAUUAUGCACUAUACUACCAUUAACUACACACUUAUUUGCGAAGUACAUAGU